rnacentral:lncRNA from 1 species
CCCGGUUUUGGGUGUGUGCACAAUAAACUUUUACUAAUUGCUACUUUGGUGAUUUCACUGGUUUUACUUCUGUUAUUUCUGAAUGUUUGACAACUGGGCGGAUGCAAUUCGGCAAGAUCUAGACUGUGGGGUGUGGAGCCGGCCAGACAUCUGGCCCGGGGACAGAAAUGUCACACGUUGAAAGAGGUUCAGAGACUUGUCAGCCAAACGUGCCGUGGCGACCUUGAGUGGAGCCUGCCUGAACAAAACAACAGUAAGAGAGAGAUGUCUAUCCUCAAUCCUCACAAUCUGUGAAUAUGUGACCAUCUACGGCAAAAGUGAAUUUUCACAUGUGAUUGAGGGUAAGGACCUGGAAGUGGAGAAAUUAUUCUGGAUGAUGCGGGUGAGCAAACCUAAUCAUUUAUGUCUUUAAAGGUGGAAAAUUUUUCCAGGCUAUGGUCAAAGGACCACAUAAGACCCAGUGAGAAGGACCUGACCUUUUUAUGGCUUUGAAGAUGAAGGAAGGGGAAUUUGACUCAAGAAAUACAGAAGAUCUCUGG